rnacentral:tRNA from 1 species
AGGAAUUUAGGUUAAAUAG